AAAAUAUCAACAGUUAUUAUAAUCAUGCAAAUAAUAACUGAAAAAAACUAUUUCCAGCAACUGUUUGAAACUUAGCCUUAUUGGCAGAGCAUAAUCAACAUUUUCCAGGUAUCAGCACAUACAUGAUGAGAUAAUGAGAUCAACCACUUGUCUACAUACAAAUUGUGCUACCCUGCUUGCUACUCAAAUAUAACUUGGCAUUUUAAUUAGCCCCCAUUUUACAACUGAGCUUACAAAGAAAUUAGAAGCCAAGACAUUUCAUGUUCAACCCUCAAUGAACUUAAAAGUCAUUUCAUCACAUUAAGCCAAAUGCUACUACCACUCAUAAAAUGACUGGUAAAGUGGGGAGAGAACAAAUGAU
rnacentral:misc_RNA from 1 species